rnacentral:misc_RNA from 1 species
AACGCACGAGACCUGCGGACCUGCGGAGGGAUCAUUAAUGAGAAGCUGCCCCUCGUGGGUAGACCUCCCACCCUCUGUGAACUUACCUUUGUUGCUUUGGCAGGCCCGUCCUCUGGACCGCCGGCUUCGGCUGGCCCGUUCCUGCCAGAGGAUUCCAAACCCUGUCUGUCAGUGUUGUCUGAGUCUAUAUGAAAUCGUUAAAACUUUCAACAACGGAUCUCUAGAUCGGAAGAGCACACG